GUGGGGAAUAUUGCACAAUGGGGGAAACCCUGAUGCAGCGACGCCGCGUGAGUGAAGAAGUAUUUCGGUAUGUAAAGCUCUAUCAGCAGGGAAGAAAAUGACGGUACCUGAGUAAGAAGCCCCGGCUAACUACGUGCCAGCAGCCGCGGUAAUACGUAGGGGGCAAGCGUUAUCCGGAUUUACUGGGUGUAAAGGGAGCGUAGACGGCGAGGCAAGUCUGAAGUGAAAACCCGAGGCUUAACCACGGGACUGCUUUGGAAACUGUCAUGCUAGAGUGCAGGAGGGGUGAGUGGAAUUCCUAGUGUAGCGGUGAAAUGCAUAGAUAUUAGGAGGAACACCGGUGGCGAAGGCGGCUCACUGGACUGUAACUGACGUUGAGGCUCGAAAGCGUGGGGAGCAAACAGG
rnacentral:rRNA from 1 species